AGAUGUGAGAGUAAUCUGGCUGGGACAUCUGUCACCCCAUUGAUGGCCAGGGUUGAUCCGGCUGAUCUGGCUGGCUAGGCGGUGUCCCCUGCCCCCGCCCCCACAGCCCCACGUGCAUCCCUCCUGAGGCUGCACUCUUGGUUGAAGAGGAGUGUUCUUCCAUCAAGGGUAGACUAGUAGCUGUGCUCCCCUGCUAAAACCUCCAAACCAGCUCUUAAGAUCCAAGAACAUCUAAAUUUCUUCUACAGAAAAGAACACAAGUAUGCUACCAGGAGUAACACU
rnacentral:snRNA from 1 species